UGCCGACACUGGAGACUCCUUCUGUAAAUGGCACAUUGUAUCGGUUUGUAUAAUGGCUCUGAUAGAUUUUCCCUCUUUCCUCAGCUUCAAGAUGGCUUCUCCCGUAGACGGCUCUCUGGUCUUCACGUUGGUUUAUCCGUUUUAACAACGAAUGCAGUCUUCACAGGCGAAACCUAGGACUCAAACCAAGACAUUCGAGGUCCUCUGUGCUGAUGACUCGACUCAGUGGCCUGUUUCAGGUUUGAUGUGAUGUCUGGUUGUCGCUCGCUCAGUGUGUUGGAGCAGAGUAACUGUGUGAGUGGAAAGCUGAUGAACCGAACAUGAGGUGGAAGUGCGAAGCCAUUAUUAAUGACACCUAUUUCCC
ensembl:lncRNA